GCCGAACGAUGCUUUUUUCAUUGGGAUCCGACUAGCUUUUCCAAUACCUCCCCGCCGAUCGCGGGACAGCGAUCUAACCGUAGUAACGUGUAGUGUUUCCGCCAUUGUCCGCAGGUCCGAGCGGGGCAUACAGUCCGGACGCGACGAUGGGAUACAUGAUGGACGGACAGGCGGCGAGCAUGAUGCACCGGCCGCCCGGUGAUCCCACCUUCCACAAUCAGUACCAUUACCCGCCAGAGUACUAUGGACAUCACUUAUAAAGCAGUAGUCGCAAGUGAAGAUAGACGAUGGAAUGACGGUUAUUGCGGAACGGGAAACACAGCACGCACCGGGUGAGGUUUAAAAGAAAGGUGCUUGCAACGGGGGCAGCGAGAAGCGAUUUCGUCGCCUUCGGAGAACUGCAGAGGUGCUUCUUGGCGGCGUCGAGGCUCACGUGGUGUGUCGGCUGCACGUACGAGCUGGAAGCACACGAUGCGGACGGUCAAAAAAAUGGAAAAGCAGCAGCAGCCGCCGGUCCGGUUCUGGCUCGGAAACCAAGUACCCUGAUAGGGGGAGAGGGGGGAGGGGGGAAGGAAAUCGGGUGGAUUCGAGGGAAAGAAGGAAAGAAUCGAAGGACGACGGGUUCGUUCGACAGAGGAGAAGAAUGGCUUUUAUACACCGGAUCCCUACGAACGAGGGAAUGACCGACACACGACGCGUGUGGAACCGGAAGCAAGACGACUAGACGAGGAAGAAGUAAAAAAAAAAAAAAAACAACAAACGAAAGAGCGAAGGACGCGCGCGGCUCAGUGCGAACUAGAUUUUACGUGGAGCCGCGAAGAGAGCGAAAGGAAAUUCACAUGUGAUUGUUCUGUGUACAAAUGUCGCGGUGUAAUAUUGUAGUGAUCGAAAAAUUUAAAUGUUAAAUUUUAAUACGGUCGCGAUCGAGCUAUUAUUAAUUAACGAUUACGUUAGGAAGAGAGAAAACAGGGGGUUGGGGGUUGGGGGGGGGCGGGGGGGUUCGAACUACGAACGAGGGAAUUACCUCGAGCAAAAGAGUGAUAUAGGCAAUUUCUAGCGGGCAUGUGUACAUUAAAUGGAAAUAAACAAAAACUGGGUGGUAGAAAGCGGGGGAAAAAUAAAAGAGGUAAAAAAAGAGUAACGAGCAACUGAAGGUGUUAAGCUCGCGAACUCGGUUUAUUAAUAGGAUAGAUGUCCACGCGCUCUGAAGGAGAAGCGAGGAUUUGUGGGGAAAUUCUCGCAGAGAAGAGAAUGACAAGAAAGAAAUUGAAGAAGACACGAUACGAGAAUGCAGCAUGUAUGUAUAUAUAUAUACACACACGCGCGCGCGCAAUUACGCAUCCAUGUGUAUAGAUAUAUACGGGUAUAUAAAUAAAUAUAUAUAGAGAAAAGAAUUUUAGAUGCGCGGUGGCUGGCGUUCUUUUCUUUUUUCUCUUUUUAUUUCGAGAGAACCGACUAGAAGAUACGUAUGUACAAGGAAUGCGGGGAAGAUUUGGAAAGCGAACGUUUGGUUUCGUACGUUUAAGGAACGGGGCACGCGCGCACGCGCGCGUACAAACAGCGUGAACGCGAACGCGAGGGCAGAAGAGAGGAUAGGAAACGGGACAAACGUAAGACUGGAGAUACAAUAACGAACGAAACGGAGAGAACGGACGACAAGGUGGGUAAGAAGGGACGAUAAAACUUUUUAGAACACAGAAGAGAAGUGAAAUCGACGCGUGUGCCGGACUCGAGCGUCGACCACAUUCACUUGCAUAUAUAUAUAGGUGACAUUGAAAUUUGUACAGUUAUUAAUUAUAAAUGAAUUUACUAAUUAAAGGAAGAAGUAAUUAUAUAUUAUAAAUAUAUACAUAACACACACUGAAGUAACAUGUGGCUCCCCCCCCCCUCUCCGAUUGUAAUAUAUAUAUACAAGCGAGCGUUUUAAUUGGACACCUUGGGACGAUAAUUAUUCUCGUGUGUGUUGUGCCGUGUUCGGUGUGUGCGUACUGGACUGGAGGAGACGCUGAGCCGAAAGAGCGGAGGAAUAGAGAGGAGGAGGUAAAUUGGUAAAGAGAAACCCGGAAGAUGAGAGCGAAUAAAAUACGCAGAAACGGAUACGAAUAUGGUGCGUGUGUGGAACGUGUGAACGUGAGAAACAAGAUAGUAUACGCGAGCGAUAGUUGGUGAGGGAUUUUAUAUAUAUAUAUAUAUAUAUAUAUAUUUAUGAAAAAGGUAUAUAUAUAUAUACAAAAAAUUAUAUAUGUAUAUAAAUAUAUAAAUACGUGAAAAUAUAGAUACCUGCGAGUGGAUCAGACGGUUCUUCAUCCACAGCUCGACGAUACAGUCAGAUUCCUCCUUCCCCACCUGAUCCGGCUCCGUACGCAUAGAAAUCGACACGCAUACACUGAAAAACAUACACGUACACGAUCAUACAGAGAAAAACAUACACGUACACACACUGACGCGCGUGAAAAUGAGCGUUAUUACCUAAGCCCCGUCUGCCCGCGCCAAAAAUAAAUGAAAGAAAGAACGAAACGGAUAAUUGAAUGUAAUUAAAAGAAAGAAACGGAUAAUCGCAAGGAUCUGAAGGAACAUGCAAUGAUCAACAAUUUAACGAAUAUAAUAUAUUGUAUAUAAUAAAGAUAGUUAAUUGAGCCGCGGUGAGCGUGAGAAGGGAGGAAGAGAGGAGGGCAAGGGGAAAUCCGAGAUUGGCAAAGUUCCACGAGAGAUGCUGUCCGCGAACCGCUUCUUUUCCCGUUCCUUUCUUUUUCGUCUCUGUCGUUUUCGUUUUCCUCUGGCCGCGCCGCGGGGAGGUGAAAGGGCUCGGUAAUAAACGGAGAAUCUGUGGACCAGUGAGAGGAUCCUCGGCGAACGGUGGAGGGAGAAAAAGAAAGAAAAGAAAAGAGAAGUAACGAGCGACAACGAGGAAUAUCGUACAUUCGGACAAACAUUGGUUUUUUCGUUUCUUUCGUUCUCGUCUUCUUUCGAUUUGUGAUCCUUCCUUCCUUUAGCCGCCCAAUUAUCGAGUCGUUUCCACGUUAAAAAAAAAACAAAGAAUAAGUAAAAGAACAAUAUCGAAAGCAAUACAGUGUUGACCAGUAUUCUCCAAACAGGCGUGUUAUUUCGCGUAGAGUAAAGGUUGAAGAAAUAUAUAUCGUUCGAUGUUAAACGAAUUGGCCCCCGUGAGACGUAAAGUGGAGAGAGGUAACCAUUGGCUUAGUAUUUCGCGAAUCAACGGGAAGAUCUUCAUGGAGAUUUUCCGCGACAUUUUCGCGAUGAAAUUCUCAGGAUCGAAACGAACCAACGAAUUUUCGGCUGAUUAUUACCAGCGAUUCAAGCUCGACUGUACGAUUCGUCGAAAUUUUUCUCAACUUUGGCGAGGGACAAACGAGAUGAAAUCUCGACGACCCUCGAUACGAAAAAACUGUUGAUCGGUGUUGAGGGCCGAUCGAAGUUCUGUCGGAUCGUUGAAACAACGCACAGCUCGUGUAAUGUAAUCGCCGUGUAUGCUCGCUGGAACGGGUCUUGGAACUGUCUCGAAACCGGUCGUCGAAUGAAAUCACGACGAUAAGACGGGCCACUUCGAUCCCGACACUUUUCUCGUCCUUUCUCGUACCGUUUUCCUCCCAGAAGUCACUGUCUUUGCUAUCGCGCGCGUACGCGCACGGAGCCCCGUUUCGAGAAAACAGUCCGCGUCGUUUCGUUAUGAAAUGUUUCAAUUCAGUUUUACGAACGUUAAAUAAGAACCGGCGUCGUCGACACGACGGAGAAGAAAUCGACGAAAGGAAGAAAGAAAGGAACGCAAGUAAAGCGAAUUUCCCUCCGGUGGAAGAAGAUUUGAAAGUUUAAUCGAAUCGAACGCGUGAAAAGAAAAGAAGAAAAAUAGGAAUUCGAACGUUAAAUUCGAGGUCGCUCGGUUCGGUUACCACUCGGCGAUGGGGUAGGGGGGAGGGGGGAUGAAACGAAAGGAAGGAAAGAAGGAAGGAACUGCGCGAGGGUGGCCUGCGAGAAAGAGGACGCGAACGAAGGAACGAAAGAAAGCGAACGCAGAGCAUACGAGACAAAUUUUAUCGAUAUUUUCAAUACGCCCACGUACACGAAAAAAUCUUGUAUAAAAAUUUUAAUGUAAACACACACUGCUCUUGCCGCGUGCCGCAAGACGUUCAACGAGAAGCAUCGAUCUCGUCGUUUCACGUUCCAUCCGCGGUCCGCAAGAUGCACGCGAUCCUCCGGAUAUUGACUGCGUUCGCGAGGAAAAAAGAUCAAGCUUCCUGCGAGGCACGGACAACGCGAAACGACGCUCGAUUCUUUUCUUCGUCGCGGUGCAACGGCGUACUAGUAUACUGAAAGAAAAAGAAAAAGAAGCGAAAAAAAAAAAUGAAAAAACGAUAAAAAAACAAAACGAUAACCGACGUAUACCGAAAGACUCAGGUGCGAGAGAAGUCAGUGAUAUCCUGGUUAAUUGGUGAAAAUUCCCGACGCUCGUCGAGAUGCAUCGCGACCGAUUUCCCCGUCGGUGGAAACGCUCCUCUUCGCGAACGAGACGAAUCGAUCGUGCGAUCCUCCGCGGAAUUUUUCGAAAUUUUCAGUUCGUGUCUCUAUCGUAUCGCGGAAUAUGAAAAGAGAAAUCAAAAAAUAAAGGAAAAAGAAAACGCGUUAGCGCCGUCUCGCUUUCCCCGUUGAAAUUUCUCGACGACCUGGUUACCUGGAUACACGGUAUACGAGAAAUCGCGGAAAAAAAAUAGUAGAAUCUCGCGCGUUCGAAAUCGUCCCGCGGCUACGACGUGUUUUUUUUUUUCUCUUUUUUUUCUUUUAACGUUUUAACGCGAAUUCUCCCGAUGUUUUUUUUUUAGUGAAACGCCUUUUUACCAUAGCGGGGACCCGGACUUUUUACCAUUUUAUCGAGCCAACGGCGUCGUUCCUACAGACGUGGUGUUUUAUUUACUUAUAUAUAUAUCUCUCUCUCUGUUUUUCUUCUUUUUUUUUUGUUGUUGUUUUUAUCGGAAUUGAAAUGUCUCGUCAAUGUCAGAGGGGACGAUCUCGCGACGCUUGUCGAACAAUCGUACAACUCAUAAUCGAUUAUCAAGUAAGAGACAAUCAAGUAGGAGGCGAACGCGGGUGGCGGCCUGAAACGAUGAAAAGGGGCGCGAUCGUGGACGAUCGUGUCCGCGGAGCGGCGCGUUUUUAUAAAUUCUAUUUGUUGAACGAUAUAUUGUUUAAUUUUGUUGAGGCACGCUCCGCUGGCCGUUCGCGAUCCCGCGCCGAUUCGUACGCCGCGCAUACGAGAAAUUUCUACGCACGGGAAUCCUUUUUCUUUUUUUUUUUUUUUUUUUUACCGAAAUCGGUGAACAAAAUUAAACAAACAUCCCCGGAAAGGAGCAUCGCGAAAUCACACGUCACGCCCAAGGAAGCUAGGUGUCAGGAGCCGGUUGAACCGUCGUUUCUGUCUGUGAUCAAUUUUUCAAACGACUUUCGGUAUACGAGAUAGGUCUCGAUUCGCCAUCGACCAGGGGCCUACGACAACGACGAUUAAAUUAUUUUUUCAUGACGAAGAGAAAACGACGGUCCGACGGAGGAGACACGACGUGAAACGCCCGGCCGGUGCAUUUCCACUGCGAAAGGGGGUGCGAAAGCGCAACACGUCCACGGGCUCGCGUGGUUCUCGCGUACGAGCACACGACUCCGUCUUUUUACCCCGCCGGCUGACACACCAUCCUCCACCCUCGGAGGUAGAGGAGAACGCGAUCAAUAUUUUCGUGGAAAUGCCCGGCGACGCGUUACGCGGCGAAGAAAAGAGGAAAGUGAAAGAGCAGAGAAAGGGGAGAACAGGGAUCGAAAAAGAAGAGGGGGAAAAAAGUAGGAAAUAAAAAGAGAGAAGCAUGGAAAAUAAAAGUAGGAUCGCACGAUCGAUUAACGAGAAGAGGCUUCUGUACAAGGGGCGUGAGAGAUGUAUACGGCGUGAUUAAAAAAAGAAAGGAAGAGAGAACGAGUGAAAGCAAAAGAAAAAGUAAAUAAAUAAAUAAAUAAAUAAAUAAAGGGAAUGAAAAUAGUGAAACACAGCGUUCAGACGGUUGCGGAAGGGAUGUGAAGACGGCGGCAAACGGACGACGUUUAUUGGCUGUUCGUUUUCUAAAUGAGUUCACCCAAUUGAAUGAAUCAUCGCCUUAAAAAUGUAUACGAAGUAACAGUAAGGUAUCUAAGUAAUAAUCAUGUUAGAGGGUAAAGAAACUUAAAACAAAGAUUUUAUGAGCGACGACGAGAGCGGCUAUAGGGCAACGAGAGCACGAGAGAGAGUGAGAGAGAGUGCGAGAGAGAAAACGUGAAACAACCGUGUGUUCGAAAAGGGAUAAAUGUUAUCACGCAUGAAAGCAAUACGCGAAUGAAAGGGGAACGAGCGAAUGAAUGAUACGAAACGACCAUGGGACAACGCGCGUGUAAAAGAGGAAAAAAAGGAGGGAAAGUAAUGUAUAAUUAUCGUGUAAUUAUGGAAAGAACGACGAUGUUAGUAAAUCGCGUCGCCGACGUCGGCGACGAUGAUCGUAACGACGACAGUCGGUAACGAGAGAUCGCGUAACGAGAUGGUGAUUUGUUCGGCAGCCCGAAGAUCCCGAAUCAAUCGUCGUUACGAUCAUCGGCUGUGGUGAAAACGACUACGAUAAACGCUGAUGACGAUGCGCUGAUAACCACGAUGAUGAUACUGAUGAUGAUAUAUGAUGAUGAUGAUGAUUAUGAUUAUGCUGAUGGUGACGAUGAUGUGUAUAGUAAGCUAAAAAUUUAUUAUAUCGGUAUGGAAUCAGAUUUUUUUCAACUGUUUGCGUAUUGACGACCCACUGACACCCUUAAGUAAAAAAAGAUUUAAAAAAAGAAGUAGAAAAGGAAAAAAAAAAGAAACAAGAGGAACGGCAAAUGAAAUUGAAAAAAAAAAGGGAAAAAAGAAACGAAGAAAAUGGAAAGAAAGAAAAAAAAAAAAAUGCCGAAUCGAAAAAAAUCGAGCUGUGUUCUGUGUUCGUGAGAUCGGGACGGAAAGAGAGGAGACCGUUUCUUCGAUCGUUGUUUCCCAGCAGCACGAUUGUGAUAGCGCGACGACGCGGAAAUUACGAUACGCGUGUGGUUGUACGGGGGCGGUGGUUCCUUCUUCGACCCCUCGAGAAAUCCGGGCGAGGAUGUUCGUCCGAUCCCCCGCGUCGAUCUACGUAUAUUCUCGCUUCUCUCUCUCUCUCUCUUUCUUGCGCGUGAACCCGAGAGAGAGAGAGAGAGAGAGAGAGAGAGAGAGAGACGCAGGGGAAAGAGCGCGCGGAAUGCCGAACAAAAAACACAGUGGAAAAACCGGAAAACUGAUACCUGUCGAUGUAAAAUAUUAGUAUUAAACGUAUACGUGGGACUACGUGCACACACGCGUCCAUCCGUUAACAAGAGAAUGAGCCUGGACACGCGCGUACACGCGUCCCCAGUUUGCGUAGAGGCGCGUGACGGCGUCUCGGGCACGCAGAGGGAACAGAGUCGAUCAAUCGCGUGAAAUUGGCCCGGAUCGAUUGUGUUCAAAACACUCACGGAUCGCAAACGUGAUGACGAUGAAAGGAAGGACGAUGUCAAAGGUGGUCUAUGUUAGAGAGUGUCCAUUGUAUAGUGUUUUUUUGAAACGUGAGCAUUAAAUGCUACAUCUUGUGUA